rnacentral:lncRNA from 1 species
CUGCCCUGGAGCUCCCCACAGAGAGGCUCUGGUCUUCUCUGUCCCAGGCAUGACAGCUAAUACUCUUCCUUUUCCUGCCCUGUCAUUUCCCUCCUCCUCAAACACAGAUUUUCUUUCCUUAGACACGAUUUCUUCCGCUGUGUUAGUCAGAGCCUUGUGGUGUUUGUUUAAAUAAACAAAUCCGUCAUGAAUAUGAUAUGAAAGAAGACUGGACCUUCAGGCUGACUGAUGACGAACAUGAUGAGUUUCUUAAGGAAGCAGGAGUGAGCAGCAAGUACGAGUUUUUGGAGGCACAGAGUGGGGAAGACUUGCUAAGGCUUGAAUGGGCUUGUCUUGGAGCCAGAGGCAAAUCAGUCUUUUCCUCUUCAAAGGAGUCAGUUUUACUGGAAGUACUACAUAUAAUUAAUUACAUAUGCAUUAAUAUCAUGCUGACAGAAAAACAAAAAAGGAAUGUGUUGCCACACAGAAGAUGCAGAACCACUUUUAUGGCCGAAGUGGAACCAUGGUGUGAUACAGCUUCAAGUGAUCUUAAAGAUCAUCUGGCUCUUGAGCAUCCAGUGAAAAGUGGCUUCCUUGGUCUGAAGGUUUGGCCUGUCUAAGACAUUUAGUUAAAAUCAGUGUUUUGCAUCUUUGAUCAGAACAUGUGAACAAAUAGGACAAUUUGGCUUUCUCACAUAGCCACCACCAGCUUCCUUAAAUGACUGUUGCCAGGUGUCACCCUAGCAGGACUGAGCCAUUAAUCAUGGCAAAUGAAGCCGCAGGUAAUUAAGUAUGUAAUUUUGAGCUGUUCAAGUGAAAUUCCAUAGAAGGUACAUCAUGAACUGGGGUAUCAUGUAGAAUUACCAGCAAAAAGACACUGAGUGUGAAUACGGUCUUUCACUAACGUUUGAUUCACAUCCAAUCCUUGUAUGUUGAUCACUGAGAGUGUUAGUUUCUAUGUGAGCCUGGACUCAUGUGGUCUUCACAGGUAUAGAUUUAUGAUUGGGUAAGCCAGGUCACAUGCCCUUGUCUCACUAUGCCUCUCGGUUAUAAUGAGAGUCCGCGAUCCUCAGGAAGGGGGAGCAGUAGGAUUCUGCAGAGCAGCAGGAGGCAGCGGCCAAGGGGCUGGAGGAACAGCUGGACUGCAUAGGUGCCCUUACCCAGGGCAGUGGGACAGAGCAAGGCUGGGGGUCAGAGAGUGAGGCCAACCAGUGAUCCAGGCAACCUUGGUGCCAGGACACCUUGCAGUGGAUGGCAUGUGGCAGUGAGAAGCCACUGUCCUCCUCCCUCCCUCCAGGCCAUCUCAGCAGCAGUGGUCCGAGACUCAGGGAAGAGCCAGCAGUGAACAACACUGGCCCUGGGGGGUACUGGACAUGGGACCAAAGAUGUCUCAAGGGCAGUACCAAGUGGCAAAGCUGGAAGAUGGAUCAACAGACAAGAUUAGGAGAGAGAAGUAUCUGGUCUUAGUGGCAAAGGCCAAGGCUAAAGCAACAGAACAGGAGUGAGAGAAUUCAGGAGGUUGGAGCAAAUGUUAGGGCCAUGGAGAGACCACUUGUGGUUUGGAGCUAAGCCACUGAACUGAAGCUCCCAUGACAGUCUAUAGCCUUGGGUCUAGGUGGAGAGGACAGUGACAUUUCCAGGGGGAGAAAGGUCAUAAGUCACUGCAGAGUGAAUCCAGAGCCCUAGGAUUCCCAGAAAGCCUUUCACCUGUGCCCAGGAACCUGGGAAGCAGGAGCUGGCUUCCUGCAGGAGGGGUCGGAGAACUGGGCAGGGCACUCAUCCCCAGCUCCAGCCAUGAAUGGUGACUGGGGAGAGAGUCAGGCCACAGUCAUAGGGAG